rnacentral:sRNA from 1 species
GCCAGGAAGGGUGGUGCACACCUGUAAUCCCAGGUGCUCGGGAGGCUGAGGCAGGAGGAUCUCAAGUUCAAAGCCAGCCUCAGCAACUUAGGAAGGCCCUGAGCAACUCAGUGAGACCCUGUCUCUA